UCAGUGUCAAUUCUCACAAUGCCAAGGCAGGGAACAGACAUUCUAUCUACCUCAGCCUCAGAAGGACAUCCUAGAAGGACAAACACAAAGCUCUUCCCUCCAGAAAGCUGCCUCCCUGCCCCCUCAGAGCUCAGAGGACGGUCUCUCUACAAUAGGCCCAUCAUCUCUGGAUUUCCUGCCCUCUGACCUCAGGCCUUUGUGCAUGCUGUCCUCUCCAUCUGGAACACAAUCAUACCCUUCACCAUCAUCACUCCUCCAGGGAAAAUGCUGCCCAUUUUUACCAUCACUGCUUUGCCAGCACACUAACACCCAGGUCUGGGUCACAGAGCAACAUGGCUCUCUGCACUAUGGUCCUCAACAUGUUCUUAUCAUUCUGAGGACAUCAGCAGCGCCUGUCAUGGUCCCUCAUACACAGCAAGUACUCGAGUGAUGCUAUCACUGGACUGUUUCCCUUUUAUGGUGUCGGUGCCAAAGGGACAGGGUCCAAGAACCAUGUCAAUUUUGUUCAUCUGGAGUAUACCCAAACAUCUGGAAUAAUACCUGUGCUGUGGUCUGAACCUGAAA